rnacentral:tRNA from 1 species
AGCAGACCUGGGACGCCGAUGCGGAGCGGUCCGGCUACCGGCUGGGCGCGGCCAAUCGGCUCCGGGGCCGGCGGGAUUCCGACUUCCGGGUCCGCUUCC